GCCCCACCUCAAGGGUUGAAGAAUCAUUACUAUUCAACAAGUUAGAAUCUGUAUAGUAGUUACGUAACAGCGCCAUCUACUGGCAAUAGAAAUCCACUGUGAUUUAUGUUUCUCACAUUUGUAUAAUUAAAGUUGUUCUUCAGUAUGCAACUACAGUGCAUUGUGGGUAGCUAGUGCAUUCUGGGAAGGAGAAGGAAGCCACCAUAUUGUCUACAACGUAUAUUGCAUAGCUCUCUUUACAUUCCUGCUUCUUAAACCUCCAUUAUCCUACAGCCAGCAUAUCUGGUAAGAGUUAUACAAGUCUCAGAACAGUCUGUGCUUUAGUGAUGUUUUAGAUAGUUCUUAUCUGCAUGUAGUAGUUGUUAUGUUAGUAGAUAACCAGUCAUGCUUAGAACUAAUAUAAUCUGUGCAAACAUGCUGAUUUAUAAUGAAUGCUGCUGUAUAUGUUAUUCAUAUGCUUUAUGCUGUAUACUUAUACAAAUCAUUUGUAUCUUUACAGUUUUACCACACACAACACACACAGACGCAAACACAUAUGCGCACAUGCGCACAUACAUCUGUGUUCCUGUUUUCUAAUUGCAACUGACCACUUACGAUCAAACAACCUGUUAUCAAUAAACAAGUUAGAUUACAAGACGGUCUGCUUAUUUGGAAGACAGGGAUGGUUAAGCUGAAUGCUGAAUUGCACACUGUGAGAACGUGUAUGAAGGCAGAACAGUAAAACAGAUCCUGGUCAGCAACGAUAGUGGAUGCGACUAAACGCAGCUGCCAUCACACACGCUGUCCUGCGUACACGAUUGCAGCGUCUGCCACACGGUCUGUGACAAGAAGUGAGAGUUGCAGCUCAACACGAUCCAGAUCGCUGAAGUGCGGUCCCAUAUAGACUGAGUCCACAGAGAGACAUUAAGCAGCCAGCAGAACAAGCACAAUGUCUGUUAGCCAAGCAUCAUCAUACAAAACCAGAUCACGAGCAAGCUGCUCUAGCAAGUCCUCCAUAAAAGAAAUGGCUGCUCUCGCACGUGCAGAAGCUGAAGCUGCAAAAGUAAAGUCUUCCUUUGCUGCACAAGAGAUGCAACUAAAGAAAGAGAGGGCAUCACUAGAAAAAGAACGAGUAGAUCUGCAAACAUCGCUAGAAAGACUCGCCGCAGAGAAAGAAGCGGCAGCCGCAAUAGCCAAAGCUGAAUACCUGGAAGCCCUGGAGUUUUCCGGAUCCGAGAAACACAGCCAAGUACUUGGGCCGGACCUAGACGAACAAGAUCCAGCCCAGCGUGUCUCAGAGUACGUCCACCAACAUCCCAAGAAAGAGGACAACUAUGAGCCAGCACAUCCGCCAGCUGACACAGAGUGCCAAAGAUCCUACCCCCAACCACAGUACCUUAGGCAGGACGAUAUGCGACCAAACGAUGCUGACAACUACUGCCCUACGGAGCAGAGACUACGACCUUUGCCUCGAAUGAAAGGAACACCUUUUGCAUCAGAACGGUAUUAUACUGACUGCUCUAAACAAGAAGCUCUUAAAAGGUACGGUAAUACACCACACAUGCAGCAUCAUAGCACACCAGGUAGUACUGAUGCUAACUGGGCCAUCAUGGACUUUGCGAAGUUCUUUGCUAAACGGGAGCUGGUUACCAGAGGACUUACAAAGUUCACCGACCAGGCCGAGAACUACAGGUCAUGGCGAGCCUCCUUCCAAAACACCAUAAGAGACUUAGACCUUUCCCAUCAGGAAGAGUUAGACCUCCUGGUAAAGUGGCUUGGAAGCGAGUCUGUUGAACACGCCAAAAGAAUCAGAGACAUUAACAUAAACUAUCCUGGCAGAGGCCUAAAAAUGGUGUGGGAAAGACUUAAUGAGUGUUAUGGGUCCAUAGAAGCCAUUGAAAAUGCUUUGUUCAAAAGGAUUGAUAACUUUCCCAGAAUAGUGGGUAAAGGUUACCAGAAGCUCAGGGAGUUAUGUGACUUGUUAAGAGAGGUACAGGUUGCUCAAGCAGAAGGAGAUCUACCAGGGUUAGCAUUCCUAGACACUGCCAGAGGGGUUAAUCCGAUUGUUCAAAAACUCCCUUAUAACUUACAAGAGAAGUGGGUCACACAUGGUUCUACUUAUAAACGGGUUCAUAAUGUACCAUUUCCCCCCUUCAAGGUGUUUGUAGACUUUGUCAGUGAACAGGCAAGAAUCAGAAAUGAUCCCAGUUUUGAUCUCACAAUGUCAUGUCCCACUGCCCCUGGUGUCAGACCUCAUAAAACACCAGUGGCAGUCCACAAAACUAACAUUGCCUCCACAGGUUCUCCAUACAAACCAUCUAAGUCUUCUCAAGAAGAGAACAGACACAGAGAUCUUAACCAAGAAUGCCCCCUGCACAAGAAACCACAUUCUUUACUAAAAUGCAGAGCCUUCAGAGAAAAGACUUUAGAGGACCGCAAAGAGUUCCUUAAAGACAACCACAUCUGCUUCAGGUGCUGCACUACAACAUCGCACCUAGCAAGGAACUGUGAGGUCAGUGUGUCAUGCGCAGAAUGUGGUAGUAAAGAACACAAUACGGCUUUACACCCUGGGCCACCUUCUCAGGCAUUACACCAAACAGAGGACCAUCAAAAGAAGCAGAUAAACACUGACAAAACCAACACAGUAGUCACUUCUCAGUGUACCGAGAUCUGUAAAGGAGUGGCAGGAGGAAAGUCCUGCUCAAAAAUCUGCCUUGUCAGAGUUUACCCGGCCAGUCACCGAGAUAAAGCGAUUAAGGUAUACGCAAUCCUAGACGAUCAAAGCAACCGGUCUUUAGCAAAAUCCACCCUUUUUGACACCUUCAACAUCAUAGGACCCGGUUCUCCAUACUCCUUAAAGACAUGUGCAGGUACCGUUGAGACGGCGGGGAGGAAGGCAACUGGAUACAAGGUAGAGUCCAUAGACGGGCAGACCUGCUUGUCACUGCCAACCAUACUGGAGUGCAACCAAAUUCCCGACAACCGUUCUGAGAUACCUACACCAGAAGUAGCAGCAUACCACCCCCACCUGAGGCGUAUAGCUCACCAGAUACCAGAACUGGAUCCAGAAGCACCAAUAGCCUUACUCCUAGGAAGAGACAUACUACGUGUUCACAAAGCUAGAGGACAGAUUAAUGGUUCCCAAAACGCUCCAUACGCCCAGAGACUUGACCUAGGGUGGGUCAUCAUAGGAGAUGUCUGUCUAGGAGGAGUGCACAAGCCAAUCUCUGUCAACAGCAUGCUCACCAGCACGGUUGAAAAUGGACGUCCCUCCUUAUUCCAACCAUGUCAGAACAGUUUCCUGAUAAAAGAAUUGCCACACAGAGAUCCUGUCCCUUGUCCCUUCAUGGAUCCUUCUAGCGAAGACCACGCCUGCGAGGGUGAACGAGAUCACUUAGGGUGUACAGUUUUCCAUAGGUCAAGAGAAGACAACAAGGUCGCAAUGUCCAUAGAAGACAGGCUGUUCUUAGAGAUCAUGGAUCAAGGAAUGACAAAGGACAAGUCAAGAAGCUGGGUCGCACCUUUACCAUUUAGACCCCGAAGACAACGCUUACCUGACAAUAAAGAACUUGUCUACAAAAGAUUCAUCUCCCUUAAGCACAAACUUCAGAGGACACCAGAGAUGAAAGAACAUUUCUUUAACUUUAUGCAAAGAAUAUUCCAGAACAACCAUGCAGAAAUAGCACCUGCGCUCCGAGACUCAGAGGAACGUUGGUACUUACCCACAUUCGGCGUAUAUCAUCCUAAAAAGCCAGGCCAGAUACGAGUAGUGUUCGACUCAAGUGCCAGGUGCGAAGGUAUAUCAUUAAACGAUGUCUUACUGUCUGGUCCAGACCUCAACAACAGACUUCUAGAGGUACUUCUACGUUUCCGUAAAGAUUCCAUAGCAUUCAUGGCCGACGUACAACAGAUGUUCUACUGCUUCCUCGUCAAGGAGGAGCACAGAAAUUACUUGAGGUUCUUCUGGUACCGCAACAAUGACCCUAAUGAAGACAUCGUAGAGUACCGUAUGAGGGUGCACAUCUUCGGAAACAGUCCUUCACCUGCAGUCGCUACCUAUGGUCUCAGACUUUCAGCUCAAGAGGGUGAAGCAAAGUAUGGGUCAGAUGUCAGAUCCUUUGUAGAGAAAGAUUUCUAUGUGGAUGACUGCUUGAAAUCCACACCUACGAAUGAGUCGGCAAUCAGUCUCUUAAAAAGGACUCAAGAGAUGCUCGCUUUAUCUAAUCUGAGGUUACACAAAAUUGCCUCCAACAGCCGUGAGUUAAUGGAAGCCUUCUCAACCCAAGACCAUUCGAGUGACCUUAAGGACUUGGAUCUUGACUCCGAUUCCCUUCCCAUGCAGCGGAGUCUUGGUUUGCUCUGGGACUUGAAGGCAGACACCUUUACCUUCCAGAUCAGCAAAGAAGAAAAGCCCUUCACACGCAGAGGAGUUCUGUCCACGAUAAACAGCUUGUACGAUCCUCUGGGAUUUGUAACACCUGUCACCAUUCAAGGCAAAAUUAUGUUAAGGGACCUCACCACAGAGAUGUCUGAUUGGGAUGAUCCGCUCCCCACAGAGAAAAAAGACCUAUGGACAGUUUGGAAAGGGUCUCUUGAAGCUUUGACCAGUCUUCAUGUGACACGACCCUAUGCUUCUAUACCAUCUACAGAAGUCAAGAGACAAAAGCUACAUAUCUUCUGCGAUGCUUCAAUCAAGGCAAUCGCUGCUGUAGCAUACCUAAAGACCAUUGAUGACAAAGAACAAUGCCAUGUAGGAUUCGUCAUGAGUCGGACCAAACUGGCACCUCUCCGCGAACACACAAUACCCAGACUGGAGCUCUGUGCUGCUGUGCUUGCAGUGGAGUUGGCUGAACUUAUAACUUCAGGAAUAGGCCUAGAAAUCAAAGAAGUCGAGUUCCACACGGACAGUAAGGUAGUCCUAGGAUAUAUCUGCAACGAAACUAGACGCUUUUAUGUCUACGUUUCCAAUCGGGUGCUGAGGAUCAGGAGAUCCACUAGUCCUCAACAGUGGCACUACGUGCCUACACAACAUAAUCCUGCAGACCACGCAACCAGAUCCAUCGCAGCCUGCCACCUGAAAGCCACAACAUGGUUCACAGGUCCUGCGUUCCUGUACCGUUCAACUGCUUGCGAUAUCGGAUACGACACAUUUGAAUUGAUAGACCCAGACGCGGAUGAAGAGAUCCGACCUGAAGUGUCUGUCCUUAACACAGUGACUUCUGAUCAUCAACUUGAAUCUCACCGUUUCAGCAGGUUCUCCACCUGGAUGUCUCUGGUCCGUGCGAUAGCCAUCUUGAUUCAUAUAGCUAAGUCCUACACAUCUACAUUAACUGUGAAUCAGAAACCUUGUAAAGGUUGGCAUCACUGCGAGAACACCUUUACUGCUUUCAAUCUGGAGAAGACAAGUAGUGACGUCCGUUGACGUCAGACGGGGAGUGUUCUGCCCCACCUCAAGGGUUGAAGAAUCAUUACUAUUCAACAAGUUAGAAUCUGUAUAGUAGUUACGUAACAGCGCCAUCUACUGGCAAUAGAAAUCCACUGUGAUUUAUGUUUCUCACAUUUGUAUAAUUAAAGUUGUUCUUCAGUAUGCAACUACAGUGCAUUGUGGGUAGCUAGUGCAUUCUGGGAAGGAGAAGGAAGCCACCAUAUUGUCUACAACGUAUAUUGCAUAGCUCUCUUUACAUUCCUGCUUCUUAAACCUCCAUUAUCCUACAGCCAGCAUAUCUGUUUUACCACACACAACACACACAGACGCAAACACAUAUGCGCACAUGCGCACAUACAUCUGUGUUCCUGUUUUCUAAUUGCAACUGACCACUUACGAUCAAACAACCUGUUAUCAAUAAACAAGUUAGAUUACAA